CGUUAUUAAUUCGAAUUCGAGCUCAUUCGAGCUUCCAGAUGCUCUCGGUAACCUUCAAGCGGAUCUAUUUUGGGCUGGAAUCACUCCGCACACAGACUCGGCAAGGGGUGGACCUGUCGGCCUUUACUUUCAAUAAAAACGUCUGGAAUUAUACAAACAAUAGACUGGAACUCUAAAGACAAGAAUCGUUAAGGCUCAGGCCAACACCGAAGUACAAGUGUGGACACCUGAGCAAAGAGGAUCUGCAGGAUGAAAUUGAGGGCAGGAGAAUCUUACUGCGUCAAAUUUAAGGUGGGAGAAAGACGUUUGGCCGGCGAUUCGACUCUAAGAUGAUAACUGGGUUCAUAAUAAUGUAAUAUUGAAACGAACAUUAUACACCUUGCGAAUGAUAUUGCAAAGUUUCGAAUAAUUAAUUGAAUAAUGUACGUAUACUGAAUGUAUUCCACCUGCAUAACUCUUGAAUAAAUGACAAGCUAUUUUAAAUCAAA